GCAUCGGUGGUUCAGUGGUACAAUGCUCGCCUGCCACGCGGGCGGCCCUGUCGAUUCCCGGCCGAUGCA